rnacentral:rRNA from 1 species
UACAUGCAAGUAGAACGCUGAAGGAGGAGCUUGCUUCUCUGGAUGAGUUGCGAACGGGUGAGUAACGCGUAGGUAACCUGCCUGGUAGCGGGGGAUAACUAUUGGAAACGAUAGCUAAUACCGCAUAACAGUAGAUGUUGCAUGACAUUUGCUUAAAAGGUGCAAUUGCAUCACUACCAGAUGGACCUGCGUUGUAUUAGCUAGUUGGUGGGGUAACGGCUCACCAAGGCGACGAUACAUAGCCGACCUGAGAGGGUGAUCGGCCACACUGGGACUGAGACACGGCCCAGACUCCUACGGGAGGCAGCAGUAGGGAAUCUUCGGCAAUGGACGGAAGUCUGACCGAGCAACGCCGCGUGAGUGAAGAAGGUUUUCGGAUCGUAAAGCUCUGUUGUAAGAGAAGAACGAGUGUGAGAGUGGAAAGUUCACACUGUGACGGGUAUCUUACCAGAAAGGGACGGGCUAACUACGUGCCAGCAGCCGCGGUAAUACGUAGGUCCCGAGCGUUGUCCGGAUUUAUUGGGCGUAAAGCGAGCGCAGGCGGUUAGAUAAGUCUGAAGUUAAAGGCUGUGGCUUAACC